GACGAACGCUGGCGGCGUGCCUAAUACAUGCAAGUCGACCUUAGUGGCGAACGGGUGAGUAACACGUGGGUAACCUGCCCAUCAGAAGGGGAUAACAAUUGGAAACAGGUGCUAAUACCGUAUACUGAUGGAUGGACCCGCGGUGCAUUAGCUAGUUGGUGCGGUAACGGUUCACGAAGGCAACGCUGCAUAGCCGAGCUGGGAGGGUGAUCGGCAACAUUGGGAUUGAGACACGGCCCAAACUCCGACGGUAGGCAGCAGUAGGGAAUCGUCGGCAAUGUACGAAAGUCUGACCGAGCAACGCCGCGUGAGUGAAGAAGUUUUUCGGAUCGUAAACCUCUGUUGUUAGAGAAGCUGUAUCUAACCAGAAAGCCACGGCUAACUACGUGCCAGCCGCCGCGGUAAUAC
rnacentral:rRNA from 1 species